rnacentral:rRNA from 1 species
CCUACGGGGGGCAGCAGUGAGGAAUAUUGGUCAAUGGACGAGAGUCUGAACCAGCCAAGUAGCGUGAAGGAAGACUGCUCUAUGGGUUGUAAACUUCUUUUAUAUGGGAGUAAAAUGUUCCACGUGUGGGAUUUUGUAUGUACCAUAUGAAUAAGGAUCGGCUAACUCCGUGCCAGCAGCCGCGGUAAUACGGAGGAUUCGAGCGUUAUCCGGAUUUAUUGGGUUUAAAGGGAGCGUAGGUGGGUUGUUAAGUCAGUUGUGAAAGUUUGCGGCUCAACCGUAAAAUUGCAGUUGAAACUGGCAGUCUUGAGUACAGUAGAGGUAGGCGGAAUUCGUGGUGUAGCGGUGAAAUGCUUAGAUAUCACGAAGAACUCCGAUUGCGAAGGCAGCUUACUGGACUGCAACUGACGCUGAGGCUCGAAAGUGUGGGUAUCAAACAGGAUUAGAUACCCCAGUAGUC